GGGGGCGUAAUGGCUUCGACGUGGAUUUUGAAGCUUAAGGAGCAUGUCGGGGCGCAUGAGGACCUCGUUAAAAACGUGCAUUAUUUAAUUGGCGAAACUUUCGCUCCAGCAAUGGCUGCCUAAUAAGUAGUUCGAUUGCUCGCUGAACUCUUCGUUGAUGGGUCGAGGAGGUAGGUGUCACCUAAGCCAUCUCGAUCAUUAAGUGUGGUACCGAGCUUGAUGAUUCAAAUCCUUCGGAACAACGACCAUGAAAGUUUGUCGUUGGAAGUUCAUGGUUUUAACAAACAACGACUAAACAUGUAGCUGGCCUUAAUGUGAAUAAUUUGCGGACCCGGGUUCAACUCCCGGCGCCUCCACCA
rnacentral:tmRNA from 1 species